rnacentral:tRNA from 1 species
AAAAGUCUAAGAUAAGUGUUUAAAGUCUGCUAAGUUGUCUACUUUGUUGUCCCUUGGGGGGGCUUUUU